rnacentral:rRNA from 1 species
UACGGGGGGGGCAAGCGUUGUUCGGAAUUACUGGGCGUAAAGGGCUCGUAGGUGGCCAACUAAGUCAGACGUGAAAUCCCCAGGCUUAACCUGGGAACUGCGUCUGAUACUGGAUGGCUUGAAUUCGGGAGAGGGAUGCAGAAUUCCACGUGUAGCGGUGAAAUGCGUAGAGAUGUGGAGGAACACCAAUGGCGAAGGCAGCCUUCUGGGCCAACACUGACGCUCAUGCACGAAAGCGUGGGGAGCAAACAGG